CCUACGGUGGGGCAGCAGUGGGGAAUAUUGGACAAUGGGCGAAAGCCUGAUCCAGCCAUGCCGCGUGUGUGAAGAAGGCCUUCGGGUUGUAAAGCACUUUCAGUGGGGAAGAAAGCCUUGGGGCUAAUACCCUCGAGGAAGGACAUCACCCACAGAAGAAGCACCGGCUAACUCCGUGCCAGCAGCCGCGGUAAUACGGAGGGUGCGAGCGUUAAUCGGAAUUACUGGGCGUAAAGCGCGCGUAGGCGGUCUGAUAAGCCGGUUGUGAAAGCCCCGGGCUCAACCUGGGAACGGCAUCCGGAACUGUCAGGCUAGAGUGCAGGAGAGGAAGGUAGAAUUCCCGGUGUAGCGGUGAAAUGCGUAGAGAUCGGGAGGAAUACCAGUGGCGAAGGCGGCCUUCUGGACUGACACUGACGCUGAGGUGCGAAAGCGUGGGUAGCAAACAGGAUUAGAUACCCUUGUAGUC
rnacentral:rRNA from 1 species